rnacentral:rRNA from 1 species
UAGAGGAAGUAAAAGUCGUAACAAGGUCUCCGUUGGUGAACCAGCGGAGGGAUCAUUACCGAGUUUACAACUCCCAAACCCCUAUGUGAACGUUACCAAACUGUUGCCUCGGCGGGAUUUCUGCCCCGGGCGCGUCGCAGCCCCGGACCAAGGCGCCCGCCGGAGGACCAAUUUACAAACUCUUUUGUAUAUCCCAUCGCGGAUUCUUUACAUUCUGAGCUUUCUCGGCGCUCCUAGCGAGCGUUUCGAAAAUGAAUCAAAACUUUCAACAACGGAUCUCUUGGUUCUGGCAUCGAUGAAGAACGCAGCGAAAUGCGAUAAGUAAUGUGAAUUGCAGAAUUCAGUGAAUCAUCGAAUCUUUGAACGCACAUUGCGCCCGCCAGUAUUCUGGCGGGCAUGCCUGUCCGAGCGUCAUUUCAACCCUCGAACCCCUCCGGGGGGUCGGCGUUGGGGAUCGGCACUUACCUGCCGGCCCCGAAAUACAGUGGCGGUCUCGCCGCAGCCUCUCCUGCGCAGUAGUUUGCACACUCGCACCGGGAGCGCGGCGCGUCCACGGCCGUAAAACAACCCAAACUUCUGAAAUGUUGACCUCGGAUCAGGUAGGAAUACCCGCUGAACUUAAGCAUAUCAAUAAGCGGAGGAAAAGAAACCAACAGGGAUUGCCCCAGUAACGGCGAGUGAAGCGGCAACAGCUCAAAUUUGAAAUCUGGCUCCUUUCGGGGUCCGAGUUGUAAUUUGUAGAGGAUGCUUUUGGUGAGGUGCCGCCCGAGUUCCCUGGAACGGGACGCCACAGAGGGUGAGAGCCCCGUCUGGCUGGCCACCGAGCCUCUGUAAAGCUCCUUCGACGAGUCGAGUAGUUUGGGAAUGCUGCUCAAAAUGGGAGGUAUAUGUCUUCUAAAGCUAAAUAUUGGCCAGAGACCGAUAGCGCACAAGUAGAGUGAUCGAAAGAUGAAAAGCACCUUGAAAAGAGGGUUAAAUAGUACGUGAAAUUGUUGAAAGGGAAGCGCUUGUGACCAGACUUGGGCGCGGCGGAUCAUCCGGGGUUCUCUCCGGUGCACUUCGCCGUGUCCAGGCCAGCAUCAGUUCGUCGCGGGGGAAAAAGGCUUCGGGAACGUGGCUCCUCCGGGAGUGUUAUAGCCCGUUGCAUAAUACCCUGCGGUGGACUGAGGACCGCGCAUCUGCAAGGAUGCUGGCGUAAUGGUCACCAGCGACCCGUCUUGAAACACGGACCAA